UGAUGCAAAAUACAGUGUGGGAUUUUCACAUACUUUACUCCUGGGGGAAUUCUGCACCACUGCACUUGUGCAGCAAUGCGUCCCACGCAUCCCUCCCCCACAGAUUCACUUUGCUUCCUGUAGAAAAAUGGUUUCUGUGGGGAAGCAAAGAGAAGCUGCAUCAGUGCUCACUCACCCCGCCCCAGCAGUAUGGGUGCAUCUGUUCUGGCAGGUGGGGAAGAGGGUGGGGAAAAUCCAAUGGAAAGUGGAACAAGGAACUGGGGUGGGUGAAAACCCAGCUUCUGAAGACCAGGAAAGAGUGAGGCAGAACCUGUAGGGGUGCUGACAAACAACUCCCAAAGGUUGGGACGACUGAAAUAAGCUAAGUCUACAGGUUUGUACAACAGAUUGUGGAUGCUAACAGAAAAAGCUACAUGAAUAAUACAGCGUGGACAAAGUCCACAGGCUAUGCAUACAGAUACUGGAAGCUUUGGAUCAGUUAUGAGAAGGUAAAAGUACAAGAAAAGUUUGGUCCAGCAGAUUGAGGAGGAGGGCAGAGCACCAGAAACUCCCAAAAUCUGUUUCCAGUAUGUUGGUUUAACAUUUUGCAUUCUACAGUACUGUAGGCUACUGGCCUGUCUCCCCAGCUCAGGAACAAAUUGACACCACACACCAGCCCUUUGCCUCAGGGCUUCUGCUUUAUUUCUUUCAAACACUAUAAAUUCAGCACUUCAAUUGUCCCUUCCCCAGUAACCUGAGGUCUUUUGCAGUUGCAUCUAUUC